GAUGAAGAACGUAUCGAAAUGCGAUAAGUAGUGUGAAUUGCAGAAUUCAGUGAAUCAUCGAAUCUUUGAACGCACAUUGCGCCCGCUAGUAUUCUGGCGGGCAUGCCUGUCCGAGCGUCAUUUCAACCCUCAAGCCCCCGGGCUUGGUGUUGGGGAUCGGCGAGCCUCCGCGCCCGCCGUCCCCUAAAUCUAGUGGCGGUCUCGCUGUAGCUUCCUCUGCGUAGUAGCACACCUCGCACUGGGAAACAGCGCGGCCACGCCGUUAAACCCCCAACUUCUGAACGUUUGACCUCGGAUCAGGUAGGAAUACCCGCUGAACUUAAGCAUAUCAAUAAGCGGAGGA
rnacentral:misc_RNA from 1 species